rnacentral:rRNA from 1 species
GAUGAACGCUAGCGGCAGGCUUAAUACAUGCAAGUCAAGGGGGUAGCAAUACAACCGGCGCACGGGUGAGUAACGCGUACACAACAUACCAUAUACUGGAGUAUAGCUUUGGGAAACUGAAGGUAAUCCUCCAUAACAUUGCGAGGGGGCAUCUGAUUGCAAUUAAAGUUUCGGCGGUAUAUGAUUGGUGUGCGUUUGAUUAGCUAGUUGGUAGGGUAACGGCCUACCAAGGCGACGAUCAAUAGCUGGCGUGAGAGCGCGACCAGCCACACUGGAACUGAGACACGGUCCAGACUCCUACGGGAGGCAGCAGUAGGGAAUAUUGGACAAUGGAGGAAACUCUGAUCCAGCCAUGCCGCGUGAUAGAUGAAGGCCCUCUGGGUUGUAAAUAUCUUUUAUCUGGGAAGAAACACUCCUAUUCUUAGGAACUUGACGGUACCAGAGGAAUAAGCACCGGCUAACUCCGUGCCAGCAGCCGCGGUAAUGUA